GCGCGGUGUGUCCGCCCAUCGCCUCCCUCCGCGCAUGGAUGUGUCCGCCCUUCGCCCUUCCUCCGCGCCCGCUCGGUCAUCCCCUUACCGCCCAGUGCCCGACGGUUCCUCGCUCACGCGGUCACGCCUCCUUGUCCUCCACCUCCACCAGGCACGCGAGCAGGCAGUUCCACCUCGCCGCCGCCCUCACGCCACCUCUGCCCUCUCUCUCGCGCGCACGCGCUACACGCCUCCGCCGCCGUUGCUCGCCCACCGGAGGCCGAUUCACCACCUCCGCCGCGCGACAUGCCGCCGCCACUGCUCACCAACAGGAGGCCGAUUCACCAACUCCGCCGCGCGACACGCCGCCGCCACUGCGCACCAACCGGAGGCCGAUUCACCAACUCCGCCGCGCGACACGCCGCCAGCGGUGGCCGUAUUCCGGCCAAAUCAUGGAGCAGCUCCGAAGUAGAAUCGCCACCACGAAGCAGCUCCGAAGCCGGCCGCCGCCGGCCGGAUUCCGGCCAAAUCCGGCCCUCUCCGCCGAAAAAAUUGGGGACUGCAAACACUGACCACUCGUGAAUUUGCCACUCCCAGUGAAUGACACAGUAGGACUAUAUGUGUAUGAAAUAUGGGGCCAAUGUCAAAACUGCAAUCCCAAUCCCGCCCUGCCGCCGGCCCUCCUGCGCCUCCACGACGAUCUGAUCCGGCUCGAGGCCCUCGUCGUCGUCUCCACGUCAGGUGAGCCCCUCUUACAGUUUGCAAUUGAGUUCAUCCCUGUGUUUGCAAGGAGGAGCUGAAUUAGGUGUCUGGGAGGAGGGGCCACGAUGCUCGCGGAUCCGGCGACCGAGCUGUGGGUGCUCCACCCCGGACGCGCGCACGACUCCGCACCGCCUCGUAGCGGUGCCAUCGCCGCCCUGGCGCCGCGCGCCGCCGUGGAUCCGCAGCCGCCAUGUCGCACGACUCCCCAUUUGCCUGUGCAUCUACUCUUACUUCUUUUUACUCUUUGUAGUCGCCCAUCAGUGCCGCCGCCAACCACAUGGAUCGACGCAGUUGAUGGCUGCCCCGGCCGCGCACCCAUGGUUGCCCACCGCACAGUCGCUGCCCUUGCACCCUCGACUUUGUGGCCCCUGACCUCAACGGAGCCGUGCGGUGGGCUGCGUCGCUCGCUUGCUUGGUUGCUCCCACCACAUGCUGGCGCGGCCGCUCAUGGCGUGCUUCAGCGGUGGAAGUUUGGACGCUUGGUCAUGGGUUGAGCAGUGGGAUCACCUGUGUGAGGCGUCAUCAUAGUAUUGUAGACGCCAAACUACAGCAACGCUUGCUUGCAAAUCGCACGACACUAUAAUAGUGACGCCCCCACAUCUCUACGGUAAUAUAUGUUGUUCAUAUAUGGUGAGGCUUGUGCUGUUCUGCUCCCCAUGGAGAGGGGAAUGAGGAUGGAUGUUUUCUGGUGCUUGGAUUAUAAUCUUAUUAAGAGAGGAUUAGAGAAGGAGGAGGCUUCAGUAAUGUCCAGCUACACAGGAAGAAAGUUGAACGCAUUGCUUUGUGCUCUGCUCUAUCACUGUCGGAGAGGAUGGAAAAAACAGAGGUGCUAUAAAAGUAUGGUUCUGAUGCACUGGCUGCUGCUUUGAUUUUGGGUGAAGAUCGCGUAUGGAAGAAUAGGAUAAGCGCCAGAAGUGUGCUCCUAAGCUUCUAUUAGGAAGUAGUAGAGAGGAUGAAGAGAAAAUGAACACCGGCACAAGUAAUCUAUUUGCUCCUGGCAUUCAUUCGACUCUACACUGCAAUGCACAUAAAAGAAAGAAGUGAACUGUCGUACACAAGUCACAGACAAACCUUACAUAGUGUACAAAUUUCCCAUAUUCAUGGCCUGGUGAAUUGUCUUUUGAUCGAGUUGUUGGUAUUGAGAAUAGGAUUUGAUGUCAGGGUUAGAGAAACUGACACAAUUUUUGCAUGGAAGGUGUUGGACAAUAUCAAUCAGUUUGAUCAAUUUUUAUAGGCCAGGAAACAAUCAAGAUAACACAAUAAUCUCUUUCUCAAACUAAAGUAAUAAUAGUUAAAAUGCUCGGUUCAAUCUUCCUCUGUUACAAAUCUGGACUCAUGUUACCUUUAUUGUUAACCUAUACAAUCUCUAAUUGUAUUUUUCCUUGCAGAUAGCCAUACAAAUGAUGAUAGCCAUACAAAUGAUCUGGGAUCUUCCUUGGAUCAAAGACCUAAAAAGCACCACUAGCUACAUCAAGUUAUGUCGGCUGCGGGAGGUGGCAGCUUUGCUUGCGUCUGGGUGGUGGAAGCGAGCCAACAAUUUGGGUGGAAGGAAAAUGAUGAAGCUGUGUUGUCUGUUACUUGGUUCCAGCAAUAGCAAAAAAAAAAAUACUUUCUAGGUGCUCAAAUUAUCAAGUAGACAUGACCUUUUGUAUAAACAUUUUUUUAUACUUCCAAGUUCUAAUUUAAGCUAAUUGCAUGUAAUUUAAGCUAAUUGCAUGACUUUAUCGUUAUAUAUCAUUACAAAUAUUGCAUACUAAAUUGAUACUUAUAAAGAUAAUUUUUUUAUCACCCAUUUGUUUCUCACUCCUUUUUACCCCCUGGCCCCUGCAAAGUGCUGAUUGCCUAGAUUGAUUGCAUUAUUUCAACAAAGUUCAAGUAGGUUUAGCAGCUACGGCCACUUCUUCCUUAGUUUCUUCCUCGGCUCCAGCGUUUGAACCCUUCCUCUAUCUAUUGGGUACUGCAUACCUGUACAUUGAUCUUGUGUACUGUUUCGUUUCAGGUUCAAGCUGCUGUGAAGUGGACAAGGACCCAAGCAAGGGAUGGCACCUUGGAUUUCAAGACAAUGGUCAAGAGUGCUCGACUUUAGCGAUCAGAUUUUGCCUAUCUUCACUUAUGUUGUUCCAUAAAUCUAAUAAGAUAAAGCUUUGCUCAGUUGUGCCCCUACAUACUUAUAACUCUUGAGUCGAAUCAAUUUUGCGUGAAUAUCUCACACCUAUGCUCCUGGAAAUUAUGUGUAGCUCCACGUAAAAAAAUGACCAUAAUUGUUUUUGCGAAGUGCAAUUGGAAACCUUACUUGA